GUGGGUGCUGGAGGGUGCUUUCCUGGCCGUUCCAAGCUUUUCAGUAGCAGGAAUGUGAUUGUGUCACCGAAAGCAUGACUGUGGUUCUGAUUCCAACCUUCAGCACGCAGCUGGAGCCUGUCAUUUACUGUAAUUAAAAUAAAAUCAACAAGUGAAUACUUCUCCUACUUGGACACAAACUGGCAGGGAUUUGCUGACUUUAAGCCCUAGCAGGUCCUACUAAACGUAUGUGAAAGAUAUGGAAGUUUCACAAGACAAGUUCUAGCAUAACUCCUUCAGAAUUAAUCUGGUCCAUAUGAUUUGAAAAUUAAAGAGGUAAUUCUUUAGUUUGAACAGCAACAACAACAAAAAAAAGAUCAGCUUCCAUAGAAAGUAUUUUAGCAGUAUGCAAACAUUAAAAUAUUAGCUCUACUACUAAACUGAUUUAUUUUUUUUCCCAAUUUUAAACUAAUUCACAUAUGAAGAAAAAGCCAAAACACAAUGACUUGAGAGUAAUCAUUCAGUUUUUACUGCUAAGUUUUGACCCAGGCCUUGGAAACAAGAGAGACAGCCUGGAGAAAGGAAGACCUCCUCAGUUGAGGAACAUCUGUUCAGCGUUUGCUAGGCAAAACUUGACAAUGCACAAAUUCACGGGCCCCAACAAGAAGCACCUGUACUGAGAGAGCUGGUAGAAGUGACUGCCAAACCACUCCCUAUCAUCUUUGAAAGAUUACAGAGAACAGGAGAGGUGCCUGAAGAGUGGAGGAAAGACAGUAUCAAUAUAGUCUUCAGAAAGGGAAAGAAGGAGCAUCCAGAAAAGUACAGGUCAGGAAGCCUCACCUCCAUCCCUGGAAAAGUGAUAAAAAAAACUUAUUCUGAAUAUCAUCUCAAAGCAAACGGAAGAAAAGGAAGAUUAUCAUGAGUAGUUAAUAUGGAUUCACCACUGGAAAAUCAUGCUUUUUCAACCUGGUAGUAUUCUAGGAUUUAAUGACUGGAUGAGUAGAUGAGGGGAGAGCAGUGACUGUUGUCUACCUUAACUUCAGCAAGGCUGUUGAGACUGCCUCCCAUCAAUUCAUCAUAGGUAAGCUUAGGAAGUGUGUGUCAGAUGAGUGGACAGUGAGGUGGAUUGAGAGCUGGCUGACUGGCAGAUCUCAGAGGGCUGUCAUCAGCAGUGCAAAGUCUGGUUGGAUUCCUGUAGCUAGUGGUGAUUUGAAGCUUGGAGGAUUGGCUCCAGUGGCUUCCAGAAUGCUGUGCUGUCAUUCAGUGAGACCCGGACAGGUCUCAGACAGGCUGGAGAGUUGGACAGAGAAGAAUCUGAUGAGGUUUAAUGUAGGCAAAUGUAGAGUCCUACGUCUGGGGAGGAAUACCUGAAUGCAUCAUUACAGGUUAGGGACUCAUCUACUGGAAAGAAGCUGUGAAGAGAAUGAGCUGGGUAUCCUGAUCUACAACAGUUUGGCCCUUAUGUCCAAGAAAGCCAGUGGUUUCCUGGAAUGCAUUAAAAAAAAGUGUGGCCAGCAGCUUAAGAGGAGUUCUCCUCUCCCUCUACUCUGCCCUGGUGAGGCCAGUUGUGACCUGUUCUGGGUUCCUCAGUUGAAGAAAGAGUCCAGCAAAGGGCCACACAGAUGAUGCAGGAUCUGGAGCAUUUCCUGUAUGAAUAAAGGCCAAGAGACUUGGGACUGUUCUUCCUGGAAGGAAGAGGACUGAGAGGAAAUCUUAUCUAAGUUUAUAAAUACUGAAGGGAAGGUGUCAAGUGGAUGAGGCCAGGCUACUUUCAAUGUCCAGCAAUAGAACAAAGGACAAUGGGAACAAAGAGAAACAGAGGAUGUUUCACCUGAACAUGAUGAAAAAAAUAUUACUGUGAUGAUCACAGAGCACUGGAACAGGCUAACAAGAGAGAUGGUGAAGUCUUCUCUGAAAGUAGAAGACCCAUCUGGACACUUUCCUGUGGAAUUUACUGUAGAGAACCUGCUUUAGCAAGGGGCUAGACUGGAUGAUUUCCAGAGAUGUCUCCUAACCUCUUUGAUUCUUUGAUUUUGUGAUUUUAAAAUUAUCAGAAAUCCUUAAUAUAUGUAAUCUCUUGGCUAUAUAUAUUAAAAUCACCUUUGAAAAUGCCAUCAAAUAUGGAUUUAAAUAAAACUUCUAUUCUGGAAUUAGAAAAACCUGAUGCAUUUUUAUGCUUUCGAUAUAAUUUCAAAAAUGUUUGUAUUAGAGUAUUUGGGGAAUGAGGUAGUUUAACCGAUACUUUUAAAAUCACAGUGUAAAGUUAAUAUAAAAUUAAUAUUCAUAACAUAACAUAUAGUUUUAAUAUUGCAUAUAUUUAUAGUAUUUCAUAUGUAUUAAUAUUAAUAUACAGAAAUAAAUACUAGAUUCAGAUUUUAUAUAUGGAAACUGACUAGAAGAUGUACAUACUUAUUUAUCCAGGACUUAUCAUAUAAUUUAUUUAGGCACAGUUUUGCAUCUGUUAUCUGCAGCUAUCUAUGGACUUGUAGAUUUUCAACACUAAAGGGACAAUUACAAUCCGAAUUUGGACUUAGAUAGGUUUGCUUGAGUAGUUUUAAAUAAAAAUCUCAGGGAAAAUAAAUUUCACAGGUUAUUUAUCUGGAAUGUUGAAAAUGAGAGACAAUUACAUAAUAGUAGUAAGUGUAAUAGCUUAGAUUUUAC